UACGGGGGGAGCAAGCGUUGUUCGGAAUUACUGGGCGUAAAGGGCGCGUAGGCGGCCUUCUAAGUCGAACGUGAAAUCCCCGGGCUCAACCCGGGAACUGCGUCCGAUACUGGAAGGCUUGAAUCCGGGAGAGGGAUGCGGAAUUCCAGGUGUAGCGGUGAAAUGCGUAGAUAUCUGGAGGAACACCGGUGGCGAAGGCGGCAUCCUGGACCGGUAUUGACGCUGAGGCGCGAAAGCCAGGGGAGCAAACGGG
rnacentral:rRNA from 1 species